rnacentral:rRNA from 1 species
AAAGUGGAGCAAUCCAUGAGUACAGUGGCGUACGGGUGAGUAACACGUGGGUGAUCUACCUUUUAGUGGGGAAUAACCCUGGGAAACCGGGGCUAAUACCGCAUAAUCCCGAGAGGGGAAAGCAGCAAUGCGCUGAAAGAGGAGCCCGCGGCCGAUUAGCUAGUUGGCAGGGUAAGAGCCUACCAAGGCAGAGAUCGGUAGCCGGCCUGAGAGGGCACACGGCCACACUGGCACUGAAACACGGGCCAGACUCCUACGGGAGGCAGCAGUGGGGAAUCUUGCACAAUGGGGGCAACCCUGAUGCAGCGACGCCGCGUGAGCGAUGAAGCCCUUCGGGGUGUAAAGCUCUUUCGGCAGGGAAGAUGAUGACGGUACCUGCAGAAGCAGCUGCGGCUAACUACGUGCCAGCAGCCGCGGUAAUACGUAGGCAGCGAGCGUUGUUCGGAGUUACUGGGCGUAAAGGGUGUGUAGGCGGUUCUUUAAGUUUGGUGUGAAAUCUCCCGGCUCAACCGGGAGGGUGCGCCGAAUACUGAGGGACUAGAGUGCGGGAGAGGAAAGUGGAAUUCCUGGUGUAGCGGUGAAAUGCGUAGAUAUCAGGAGGAACACCGGUGGUGUAGACGGCUUUCUGGACCGUAACUGACGCUGAGACACGAAAGCGUGGGUAGCAAACAGGAUUAGAUACCCUGGUAGUCCACGCCCUAAACGAUGCAUAUUUGGUGUGGGCAGUUCAUUCUGUCCGUGCCGGAGCUAACGCGUUAAAUAUGCCGCCUGGGGAGUACAGUCGCAAGGCUGAAACUC